rnacentral:rRNA from 1 species
AAUAGCCUACGGGACGCAGCAGUGGGGGAUAUUGCACAAUGGGGGGAACCCUGAUGCAGCGACGCCGCGUGGGUGAAGAAGCGCCUCGGCGCGUAAAGCCCUGUCAGCAGGGAAGAAAAUGACGGUACCUGAAGGAUAAGCCCCGGCUAACUACGUGCCAGCAGCCGCGGUAAUACGUAGGGGGCAAGCGUUAUCCGGAUUUACUGGGUGUAAAGGUGGCGCAGACGGCGAUGCAAGCCAGGAGUGAAAGCCC